rnacentral:lncRNA from 1 species
AGUUUGCACUAAACCUGCGCUGCAACUCUUACAUCAGAAUUAAUAUUCAGAAUCGCUGGUAGAGGUAACGUGGGCGUUCCUCUCUCCCCCUCCCCUCCCCCCCUUCAUACUUCGUCUCUCUGCGUCCUGAGAGGUCGGAGUAUAGAAGCAUUAGAGAUGUCAACCUGCACAACCUCCUUGGAAAGGUCGUUACCAUUUAUUUCUGUCUUAUCUUGAAAUAAAUGAUUUGUAUAACUUUA